AAAUUAGAAAUUAGAUUGACCCAAGUCCUAAUUGAACUAGGACUAGUUUUUCCUUGCACUUGGCUUAUCCAAUAAACCAAUUGGACUUGAUCCAAUCAAGCCCAAACUAAAUCUAAUUAAAUUAUAUUUAAUUAGACUUAAUUUCAGCCUAUUAGCUUAAUCAAAUUAAGCCAAUUAGCAAUCGAAUUGCUAAUCGAUCC
rnacentral:lncRNA from 1 species